GAUGAACGCUGGCUGCGUGCCUAAUACAUGCAAGUCGAGCGAACAGAUGAGGAGCUUGCUCCUCUGCCGUUAGCGGCGGACGGGUGAGUAACACGUGGAUAACCUACCUAUAAGACUCGGAUAACUUCGGGAAACCGGAGCUAAUACCGGAUAAUAUUUUGAACCGCAUGGUUCACUAGUGAAAGACGGUUUUGCUGUCACUUAUAGAUGGAUCCGCGCCGCAUUAGCUAGUUGGUAAGGUAACGGCUUACCAAGGCGACGAUGCGUAGCCGACCUGAGAGGGGAGUCGGCCACCCUGGAACGGAGACGCGGCCCAGACUCCUACGGGAGGCAGCAGUGGGGAAUCUUCCGCAAUGGGCGAAGGCCUGACGGGGCAACGCCGCGUGGGGGAUGAAGGGCUUCGGAUCGUAGAACUAUGUUACUAGGAAAGGACGAUUGUGUAAGUAACGAGGCACGUCUUGACGGUACCUAAUCAGAAAGCCACGGCUAACUACGUG
rnacentral:rRNA from 1 species